rnacentral:rRNA from 1 species
AACGUAGGUGGCGAAGCGUUAGUCCGGAUUUAUUGGUGCGUAAAGCGUGUGCAGGCGGGGUGACAAGUGGUGUAUGAAAUCUCCGGGCUAAACCCUGGAGGGGUUAUGCCAGACUGUCAUUCUAGAGUGCGAGAGGAGGGGCGUGGAAUUCCGGGUGUAGUGGUGAAAUGCGUAGAGAUCCGGAGGAACCCCACGAGGCGAAGGACGGCGCCCUGCU